GGCUACGGCCACGCCACCCUGAACAAGCCCGAUCCCGUCUGAUCUCGGAAGCUAAGCAGGUCGGGCCUGGUUAGUCCUUGGAUGGGAGACCACCUAGGAAGACCAGGUGCUGUGGGCA
rnacentral:rRNA from 1 species